ACUACCUGUGGGUAAUUGUUUGUGAUGGGAGAAAUGUUCCCUGUCUAAUUAGAGGGGGGAGGUGGGGAGGAAGCAGUCGGUUGCACACCUGGACACCUGGAGACUACCUUUAUCUCCAUAUCCCAGACCACUGGUCAUUCUGAGUGAGGGAAGCUGAGUGUUGGUGGUAGGGAGUGGCUACAGUGAGACUACAGACUUAGAGGGAGAAGAAGAGAGACCACAGGCUCAAGGGGUGAAUAUUAAUGGAGACAGUUUACAGACUGGUAGGGUGAAAAAGAGAGACCCCAGACUCAAAAAAGAGGUGGGGGUGGUACAUGUAUCAGCUUUUUGCUGUAGGUGACCAAGGAUGUCCAUGGAUGUACCUGUGUUUCAGCAGCUUUUACCUAGAAGAUGUUCAUCAUUGUAUUGUGUAUUGCAAACACCUGGACUCCACACCUGUAGACCUGAGAGUAACAGACCAGGUAUCAGCUGUACUGGAGGGUCAACUGUUUCACUGGCUGAUCUUUGUGUGAGACAUAAAACAACACCAAGAGACAGAGGAUUCCUACAUCGUACCGCGGCUCUUUAACCUGUUAUCAGUCCUGAACAUUAGCACUAGGGAUGGACUGUGUUAAGGUGGCUCACUACACCUUAAAAUAUUUUCUGAAAUCAGUAGUUGAAUCAAUACUUGAUUAUGAUAGAUAUCAUAAUGGAUAAGAAGUAUUUAAGUCAAAUAGGCAAAAAAAUGUGCAAUUUUGGAUGAAAAAUGACAUUUUUAAAAAUUUAAUUCAGUAAACAUGAAGAAAAACUCCAUGAACUGCGGUUCAGAAGCCCAAUACUUUAACCACUGAGCUACGACAAAUAUACAACUGAAUCAGAACGAUAUAAACAGUUUAACAAAACAUUCAAAUUGCCAUCUUGUGACGUAGGGUCUUAAAAAGUAUAAGUCUGGGUGUAGUGAGGUACCUUAAGCAGGAAGACCAAAGUUCCAGGUGUUUGUACCUCAAGAUGGCAAGAGAGCUUGAGAGAGUGGGGGUGUGGAAGUCAGGUCUAGAGGAUUUAUGUACAGAUGUACAUUAUUUUGAUUUGUUUUAUGAGGGUUCCUGUCCUGAGAGGAUGAAGAAUCAUCUGUUGAUGGCCAUAUUGUAGAAAUACGUACAUCUGUCUAAAGUAAUGGCUAUGUCUUUCAGAAACGUAGAAGCAGGAAUGAGAUUACGACAUGGGAACAUAAUGAUGAUGAUUAUGACCGAUGAUUACGGCGCUGGCUGAUUCACAGAUCCAGGUUAUUUAUUACCAUUUCUACAGACACCACAGACAAGUACAGGCAGCUUUAGCAGAUCUCUUACUUUUGUCCCGAAAUCUGUCUUUUCUAGCCUUCCUGUAUGUAGCAGUGUUUGAGGAUUUUCUGUUUAGAAUAUGAUUGACAAGAAGUUCUGUAUAUAUGGAGUGUGAAUCUCUCCCCUCAAUCUAUCCAGUUUCCCUAUCUGUGAUGCCAUAGAUAAAAAGUUGUCAUUGG
rnacentral:sRNA from 1 species